CAGCACCUGCCACAUAGAGGUGAAUGUCACAGAGCACCUGCCACAUAGAGGUGAAUAUCAGGGAGCACCUGCCACAUAGAGGUGAAUAUCCGAGUGCCUGUCACAUAGAGGUGCAUAUCAUAGAGCAGCUGCCACAUAGAGAGUUCCUUAGUUCUAAGAAAUCAAAACCAAGCUUCAUCUAAAGAUAAAACAGAGUUUACUAGAAAGAAAGACAAGACUCACAGCAUCAACCAGAGAUUUUAAAACAAGGAUUAGAAAAUAUUAAGGAACCACAGGACACGCAAAAGUUGUGUUUCAGGAAUAUUUUGGCCAGCUACUACUGCCGCAAAACUCAAAAGAUAACCAUGCCUGCUACUGCUGCCUAUGUGAAUGCCAUUGGAUCCUUCCUCUUUGUGUCAUCUGCUCAAGAUAAAGUCCUUGGUGAGAGAAUCUGAUGAGCCAAACCUAGCUCAUGUGCACUUGACCCAGCACGCAGGCAACGUGGAGAAGGGCACAACUUCAGAAGCUGACCAAGGGGAAUAUGGAACGAAGAAAGCCACUUACAUCUUGAAAGUUUUUUCCUGGGGAAAGGAAGAACAUUGCAAGAAAGAAAGGUUGCUUCCUGGUUGCCAUUUUUUCAUCGGUGUUUUUUCUGGAGGAAAAAAUGACUCUUGGCAAAGGAGGCAAGACACCUGCAAAGUAGUCAGCAUUUCCUCCUAUAGGCAUAGAGGUCUGAGUAAUGUGUUCAAUAGAAUCGGAAGAAGAUGACAGACAGACAGCAAAUGAUCAACAUUUCAUAAAAAUGCUAACUAAAAGCUGAUAUCUUACACAUAGUGAGUAUUUAAUAAAUUUCUCUAGAAUUAAUU
rnacentral:lncRNA from 1 species